GCUUACAGCCAUACCAACCUGGCUAUGCCCAAUCUCGUCUGAUCUCGGAAGCUAAGCAUGUUUGGUUCUGGUUACUACUUGGAUGGGAGACCGCCUGGGAAUACCAGGUGCUGUAAGCU
ensembl:rRNA 5S_rRNA 5S ribosomal RNA